CCUACGGGUGGCAGCAGUGAGGAAUAUUGGUCAAUGGGCGGAAGCCUGAACCAGCCAAGUCGCGUGAGGGAUUAAGGCCCUGCGGGUCGUAAACCUCUUUUGCCGGGGAGCAGAGGUCCGGACGUGUCCGGGCCGGGAGAGUACCCGGAGAAAAAGCAUCGGCUAACUCCGUGCCAGCAGCCGCGGUAAUACGGAGGAUGCGAGCGUUAUCCGGAUUUAUUGGGUUUAAAGGGUGCGUAGGCGGGCAUUUAAGCCGGCGGUCAAAUGUCGGGGCUCAACCCCGGCACUGCCUCUGAUACUGUCGGGCUAGAGUUUAGUUGCGGUAGGCGGAAUGUAUGGUGUAGCGGUGAAAUGCAUAGAGAUCAUACAGAACACCGAUUGCGAAGGCAGCUUACCAAACUACGACUGACGUUGAGGCACGAAAGCGUGGGGAGCAAACAGGAUUAGAUACCCCUGUAGUC
rnacentral:rRNA from 1 species